UACGUAGGGGGCAAGCGUUGUCCGGAUUUAUUGGGCGUAAAGAGCGUGUAGGCGGCCUGACAGGUCAGCUGUGAAAACUCGAGGCUCAACCUCGAGACGUCGGUUGAAACCAUCUGGCUAGAGUCCGGAAGAGGAGUGUGGAAUUCCCGGUGUAGCGGUGAAAUGCGCAGAUAUCGAGAGGAACACCGGUGGCGAAGGCGGCCAACUGGACGAAUACUGACGCUGAGACACGAAAGCGUGGGGAGCAAACAGG
rnacentral:rRNA from 1 species